AGAAUGUUGAAAAGCUUCGCUUCUCACAAACAACGUUCUUCUUCCACUCCGCGCUGCUGCUUGCCAUCACCGGCUUCCACUGUUUUCGCUGCUCACAACAACUUUAUUCUACUUUCCAGCUGUAUUCCUUGUUAAGGAAACAACUAAAUUGAGAUUCAGAUAGCAAAGCUGCCAUUGUGCAUAUUGUUGACUUUCAAGAAUUAUGAGUCUUUAUCACAAAAGUAUGUAGCAAUGCUCUACAUUUUUACAGAUGCUAGUAGGGCUUUUGUGUGGUUUUGUUGGAGUUGAUCACUGGAUGCAAGGUAAUAGAUGCUACUGAAAAAUCAGGAGAGCAAAACUUAGUUUCAUGGUUUUUCCCGUAUUUCAGUGACUGGAGAAAGUUUGUUCAUAAGGCUGACCCUCUUCUGCAAGGAAAAUUCCAUGUAUGUUGUUUGCAUCAUGGAAUUGCUUUAACUGCUAUGUGUCUCUAGAACAACCAAAAUUUCGUCCACUCGUUGGUGAUUUUGUUGUUGCGCUUGAACACCUAGCUUCUCAAAGUAAUGAAACUCAUAGAUAUGGUGUGCGCAGGCCACCGCAGCAACCAUCUUCCAUAAUGGACAGAAAUUAAUGUUUUACAGGAAACAAAGGACUUAACUCAAUGCUUUGAAAUUCAUUAUGAAAUAAAGGACUUAACUCAAUGCAAUCACACUACUUACUUGAUGUCUACUUACUCAAUGCAGUCACAAGCAAGGUUCACUUCAUAAUGACCGACUCAAGUUUCAAAAUUCGGGAACUACACGACUCACUGUAUGAUACUUUAGAAGUGAAGAUGUUUUUUCUUCUAGCUGGCUACUUGGAUGAAUAAGUAGAAUUGGAUUUUUUUUUAAUCUUAGAGAAUAUAAGUGUUGGAAUGUGAUAUUUAUGAUAAUUAGAAUUGUAACAUUUUUUAGCUUAGAGAAUAUUAGUGUAGGAAUGUGAUACUUAUGUAACUUGCAACUCUUCCUGUUUAAUCUAUCAUGAGCAUUUUUAUGCUUAAACAGAGUUUAUUAAUAGAAUUAUUUUCUGCCUUUGAAAAUAAAAUUAAUGAGAUGUUGAGUGUAUAAUAUUUAUUUUUUUAAUAUAUAUUUCAUAUUUUGCGGGGGUUUAGAACUCCCACAAAGGAACCUACACAGUUUGUUUAGCGAGGUACCAGCGGUCGCCGAAAACCCCUGCAGUUAAACUAUGGCAAUCGUAUAAGCGGGAGUUUUAUAAACCCCCCGCAAAAUGGAUUCUAAACCCCCGCAAUUCAUGCGUGUUUUUUGUAGUCGAAACCACUUGUUAUUGGAUAUGUCACAACAACAAGCUGUAAUCUACUCCUAAGUUGAUCAAUUAAAGAAGUAAAAUCAAAACA